rnacentral:rRNA from 1 species
UACAGAGGGUGCGAGCGUUAAUCGGAAUUACUGGGCGUAAAGGGCGCGUAGGUGGAAGAUUAAGUGAGAUGUGAAAGCCCCGGGCUCAACCUGGGAAUUGCAUUCGAUACUGUGUGGCUAGAGUUCGGCAGAGGGAAGUGGAAUUUCCGGUGUAGCGGUGAAAUGCGUAGAUAUCGGAAGGAACAUCAGUGGCGAAAGCGACUUCCUGGACCAGAACUGACGAUCAGGCACGAAAGCGUGGGGAGCAAACAGG